ACAGUGGUGUAUGCAUUUUUAAAGGGUCAUCAUCUCACUUUUGCCUCCAGUAUGCUGAGUUAGCAUCACUCUGGCUAGCAGCUCCUGCUGAGAGCUGUGAGUGAUCAGAGAGGAGCAGUAACGCAUGAGGAAGCACCCAGCAGUGACCCUUUUGACAUACACAGAUGCUGUUGAGGUGACAGUAGUGUGACAGCAUCCAUUUCCUUCUGGGAAUUUCUCUCUUGGCAAGAACACAGAGGGUCUGGCAUUUGCUUGCUCUGGUGUGAAACUUCCAGUCCUGCAAUGCCCAGUCAUGCUUCUAUCCCUUCCCCCUUUCCAAGGGAUGUCUGCAGUAGCCCUGUGCGCUCACAUGGUUGGGGGCACAGCUCUGUGCUGUCAGUGGGAGGAUGGUGUGAAUUCUGAAGAGCUUAGCCAUGUUCUGCAUUAUGUAUUACUCUUACAUACCUGCGGUUAAAUACUUCUCUAUUAGAUGCCACUGUAUUAGUCUUGGAGGGCUUGGGGUGAGCAAUUCUGGCUCUGUGGAAGUCAGUGGUGUUGACUUCCAAGCAGUCAAGAUCCUGCUUCUUUGCUCCCUGAAACACAUGUCCUUGCAAGACAGGGCUGGUUUUCCUGGAAGCAAUUUUCCUGAGCAGUUAUUGCUCAUCACUGCCCUCAGUAGCCUGAGCCAGAUUUGCUUUGAUUUUUAGCUGAGUUUUGGGCCUGUUCUAUUUUGGACUAGGUGACAUUGGCUCUGCCAGAGAUGUUCUUUACACAAGCAUGCAUCACUGGGCAUCUGUGCCAAAGGAAUGGGACCCAUUAAUUCUUUUCCAUUUAUAGACCCGGCUUUUAAAAGCAAAGAGCUCAUUAAUGUAGAAUUUUCUUCCCCAAAUCUAGAAGUGUUGCUGACUCCUACACAGCCAUGUCCACAGAGGUGCUUCCACCACCUCCACAACCUAAGCCAUGGACAGAUGUCCUGUUCAAAACAUGUAUCCAGCUCCUCUAACCUGCCAGCAGGACUCAUUAGAUGGAAGGACUGAUUUGGGUCAAGGCUCCAGUCCUGCUGUUGUACCAGAAGCACCAUCACGGUCAGGGACCACAUAUGCUUUGUUGCAUGGAAAGGUCAGCAAAUGCAAACCACAGCUCUUUUCCCCUCAUCUAAACGGGAAAGAAAGGCCACAGAAUGCUGCUGCAGAGUUCCUGCUUUACAGGAAUGCUGUCAGGAUACAUCCAUUUGUGCCAGCAGAGGACUUGGACACAGCAGCCAGGAGUGCUUUCAGCAAACCAAGGGCUGAAGGGCAGCACUUCAGCCACCUGCUUUCCUAGGCCACGCCUGGGGCCAAGCUGGCUGCCAGCACCUCUCACAGUGCAGCCACCCCAGGGAGUUGUGCAGCUCAGCGUUGUGAAGGAUGCUUCGUUGUGAAGCAGAGGGAGAUGACAACUUCUUGCUUCACUGCCAGGAGCAAAGCUGCGGCUGGUACAAGUUCAGACCUGACUGUGAUGUGCCCUGUGUGCGAGGAGGGAGAGUCAGGGGAGACAUCGAUGGCAUCAAAGUUGACAAGACCAUUGACAAGGGAGCAGUGGCUCACUGGGAACUGAGGACUUGAGCCAAGAAGAAGCUGCAGGUGGAGCACAAAGUGCCACCAGCUCUGACAGCAGCAGCAGCACCAAUGAUGACUGAGGGCCAUUGACCACCGAAUGCUGGAUGUAUCUGACUGAACCAACAGCCUCAGGGUGUUUGCAGACUUGGGGACAAAAGACUCAGUUUUAAACCUCGUGGUUUAAAGAAGCUUUCUAAAUAAGACAUCUGCCAAAGGCCCCAAAACCAGCAACUCUGUGGAAGAAUACACCAUUUUGAAAGCUUGGGGUGUUUAAGGCACACUCAGAUGUGUCCCACAAAUGCUACAUAGCAUCAAUGAUACUCUGAAAAUGCUCUUCUGGUCCAAAGCAACUCCAUAUUUUCUCCCUUUUUCUCCUAUGUCUUGACUGCAGAGCAGGUGAUCUAGAUGUGCUUUCCAGAUGAAAGGGAAUGUUCUUACUCAGGAAUAAAUGUAAGGAUAUUUUUCGGCUUAAUGUAAUGAAAAGAAUGCAUUUUGGCUCAAUACAACAUCGCGCUACAUGUGUCCACAGAGGCAAUUCCGAAGGAUGCUUAGACUUGCACCCUGUGUAAUUGCCUACCAGGUGUAGGCUGAUCCUUGUGGCACCCAUGUGCAGUGUAAGCAGGAGGUUGGCUUGCUGGGACCAGAUGAGUGCCAGCUUGCACCAACCCCAGUGGUGGGAGCCAGGGUAAAGCAGCUGGCAAAAGAGAAGCCAUUUCCUUUGCAGAGUGUGGUCACAGCAGCCAUUCCCUGACUGGGAGCAGUGUUCCGGAGGCAGUGCAUGCGUGUGCCUGCCUGUAGUUGUGUACUAAGGACACUCAGCACAUACCACGCUGGUGGGCAAGGCUGGGUUUGCUGCAGCAUGGCCACGCUGCCUUCUAGAAGCAGCAAGAGGGAACCUGACUCCCUGGUGCAGUCAUGAGGAAUGAGCCAAGCCCAGAAAUAUCUUUAUUAUCCUUUUCCAAACAAAUCCCUGUUUGCAGAGGCUUGAUCUUCCCGUGUUUCCAGGUGCCAGGGCUGGGUGUGCUGACAGAAAGAGCAGCUCAGGGGGCAAUGCUCAGAUGAGGCUGAGUUGUUCUGGAAAGAAACCAAAAGCUUUUACUUCUCAGUAGCUCCCCCAAAAUGCUCCCAGUGGACUGGCACCUUCAGCACCCAGGCUUGGUGUGAACAUGGAUGUUAUGCUGAAGGCACUGCUUAAAGAGCAUGCCUCUGAUUUCCUUCCAACUGAAGUAUCAGGAUUGAAAGACUUCAGCAUGAUUAUGGGC